UACGUAGGGGGCAAGCGUUGUCCGGAUUUAUUGGGCGUAAAGAGCGUGUAGGCGGCCUGAAAGGUCAGCUGUGAAAACUCGAGGCUUAACCUCGAGACGUCGGUUGAAACCAUCUGGCUAGAGUCCGGAAGAGGAGUGUGGAAUUCCAGGUGUAGCGGUGAAAUGCGUAGAUAUCUGGAGGAACACCGGUGGCGAAGGCGGCAUCCUGGACCAACACUGACACUGAGGAGCGAAAGCCAGGGGAGCAAACGGG
rnacentral:rRNA from 1 species